AGAAAAGAGACCUCCACAGCAGAAAUGGAAUACCAGGCGGGUGUGACUGCUGUGGUGGAGAAGGUCAAGAGUGCUGUACGGUGCUCUCACGUCUGGGACAUCGCUGGCCGCUUCCUGGCCCAGAGGAACACGGAGGAGAACCUGGAGCUGCAGAUGGAGGAGUGUGAGGAGCGGCGGGUGCAGCUGAAGGCCCUGGUGAAGCAGCUGGAGCUGGAGGAGGCCGUGCUCAAGUUCCGCCAGAAGCCUAGCUCCAUCAGCUUCAAGUCCAUUGAGAAGAAGAUGACAGACAUGCUAGAAGAGGAAGAAGAGAGGCUCCAGCUCGCGCACAGCAACAUGACCAAGGGCCAGAAGCUGCUGCUGACCAUCCAGAUGGGCAUCGACAACCUCUAUGUCCGGCUGAUGGGCAUUACCUUGCCUGCGACCCAGAGAGAAGUGGUGCUCUCCGACACCCUCGAUUUGAACAGCAAGCUGGCGUAUUGCGAGGGGAAGCUCACGUACCUGGCUGACAGAGUGCAGAUGGUGUCCAGGACCGAAGAGGGCUACACAAAGGUGAGGGACGCCCUGGAGUCCUCGACUCUGAAGGAGAAGUACAACACCAGGAUCAGCUUUGAGGACCGGGAGGAGGAUAUGAUCGACACCUUCCAGUUCGCCGACAUGGACCACAGCUACGUCCCUUCGCGCGCCGAGAUCAAGAGGCAGGCGCAGCGGCUAAUCGAGGGGAAGCUCAAGGCGGCCAAGAAAAAG
rnacentral:sRNA from 1 species